UACGUAGGGCGCAAGCGUUGUCCGGAAUUAUUGGGCGUAAAGAGCUCGUAGGCGGCUUGUCACGUCGGUUGUGAAAGCCCGGGGCUUAACCCCGGGUCUGCAGUCGAUACGGGCUAGCUAGAGUGUGGUAGGGGAGAUCGGAAUUCCUGGUGUAGCGGUGAAAUGCGUAGAGAUCUGGAGGAACACCCGUGGCGAAGGCGGCUCCCUGGUCCGGUUCUGACGCUGAGACGCGAAAGCGCGGGGAGCGAACGGG
rnacentral:rRNA from 1 species